GACAGUUUCUCGCUGGGACUCUCGGGCCACUUUUGUGUCCGAUCCGCAACGGCCAACGCCCUGCGACAUUCCCCGGCUCGUCAGGAAUUCUCAAUUCAAUAGCAUUUUAAGAGAGUUUUGCCAGGGCCGGAGAGAGAGAGGUUGAGGCGCUUGCCUUGCACGCGGCCCACCCUGGUUUGAUCCCUGGCUUUCUGAUACUCAUUGCCAAUUCCCUUACCCCUCAACUUUGCUGGCUGCGUCACUAUUUCACCCUAACAUUUUUUCUUACUGAUCUUAAGUUUUGAGGAAAAUAGGGACUGGAGCGAUAGCACAGCGGUUAGGGCGUUUGCCUUGCUUGCGGUCGACCCGGGUUCGAUUCUCAGCAUCCCAUAUGGUCCCCUGAGCACCGCCUGGAGUAAUUCCUGAGUGCAAAGCCAAGAGUAACCCCUGUGCAUCGCCAGGUGUGACCUAACAAGCAAAAAAAAUUAGAGAAAAAUAAAAUAUCCUUAACAGUUGGUUUCUAUUAGAUUUCUAGGGAGAGGAAGAGGAAAAGAAAAAAAAUCAGAAGGUUAAAACUAUUUACAUUGAUUUCUGGGCUGUUCAGAAGCCAUAGAUCAUGUUCUCAGCAGUCAUCUUGGGAAAUAAUCAACCUUUUGAUAGGUAGUCUGGCUGGCUCACCAAAUUAUUGAGAUUAUAUGGUACUGUAGCACCAAAUUACCAAGGUAAUCAUCUGAAGAAUGAAAGCUCCAGAGGUGAGACAAAUCAUCCAACAAGCACCAGCAGAGUGUAUGGAGAGGCACAGAAUAGGGGGAGAUAGCUACUAUAGUGUUAGCAACCUCCUGCCUGGCCUGACAUGAAUUUGCCAGCUAAGUGUGAAAGGAAGGUUAGGACUAGUAAAAGUCUUUACAAGCUCCUGCCAGUUUCACUAAAAGCAGCCAUCUGGGCUGGAGUGAUAGCACAGCAGGUAGGGCGUUUGCCUUGCACACUGCAGACCCAGGUUCGAUUCCCAGCGUCCCAUAUGGUCCCCUGAGCACCACCAGGAGUAAUUUCUGAGUGCAGAGCCAGGAAUAACACCUGUGCAUUGCCAGGUGUGACCCAAAAAACAAAGAAAUAAAAGCAGCCAUCUAUGCACUUGAGACUACUCUGGUCUCAGCCACUUGAGUUUUGGGGGAGCCAUAGUUUCCAGCCUGAGGGAAUGUAUACUCUGCAGGAAAAGGAAAAACUCCCACCCUCCAUUUUGUAGAUUCACUUAUCUACAGAAAUGAAUUUGAGGGGAAGUAGAAAAGUUUUAUUAGGAAGAAUGAGAAACGAAGGAGUGAGUCAAACAAAGCUGAGGAAAGAAAUAAUGCACUCUGAGUUAGGAUUUGUGGGAAACUCCAAGAUGUUGGUCUGUGAAGCAAAAGGAAGAGGAACUAUACCCAAGCCUGGAUGUGAGCAAUUCCAGAAUGAAAUACUGUAUGUGUCGGUUUUAAGAUGGCCCCAACAAGUGCUAUUAUCACAAAUGAUUAGUAAUUUUGUUUUUGGACCAUACCUGGCAAUGCUCAGGUCUUACUCCUGGUUCUGUGCUUGGGAGUCACUCUUGGCAGUGCUUGGGUAUAUUCUGUGCUGGGGAUAGAAUUGGUGUUGACUGCAUGUAGCAAAGCACCCUACCUGCUCUCCAAUUUCUCUAACCCCCACUUAGUCACUUUUGGCAGCAGGGGGUCGAGGUGGCGGCACAGCUGGCAGUCCUCAAGGCUUAUUUCCUGGCAGGGAAUCAAUCCUGGAUCAGCCACAUGCAAGACAAGCACCUUACCUGCCAUACUAUUAGGCUAAUACUUUUUUUUUUUUUUUUGCUUUUUGGGUCACACCCGGCGAUGCACAGAGGUUACUCCUGGCUUUGCACUCAGGAAUUACUCCUGGUGGUGCUCAGGGGACCAUAUGAGUUGCUGGGAAUCGAACCUGGGUUGGCCGAGUGCAAGGCAAACGCCCUACCUGCUGUGCGAUAGCUCCAGCCCCAGGCUAAUACUUUUUAAUCACAAAAUGUUGCGUAUAAAAAGUGACUGAUACUUACAAUAUAUAUCGCCAGCACUCAACUCUGUCCCUGUCAGCAAAAAUAAGGAAAAUCUGAGAGUGUCAUACCUAGAGAGGAAUAAGAAGACAGGACAACUUAAUGUAAGAUUCCUAGUAGAAUAGAAAAAAUCCUGGAAUAGAAAAGAAAACACUGUGGCUUAAAAACUAAAUAUAAACUAUGGACUUCACUGUAUCACUGUCAUCCCAUUGCUCAUUGAUUUGCUUGAGCAUGAACCAGUAACGUCUCCAUUGUGAGACUUGUUACUGUUUUUGGCAUAUCAAAUACGCCACGGGUUAUUUGCCAGGCUCUGCUGUGUGGGCAAGAUACUCUCGGUAACUUGCCAGGCUCUCUGAGAGGGGUGGAGGAAUCGAACCAGGGGGUCCGAGUGCAAGGAAAAUGCCUUACCCGCUGUGUAUCGAUUCAGAAAAAAAUUACUGUUUUCAUAAAUCUUACUCUCACCUGGGCCGCAGAAUGUCCAAACCCAGAGAGAAUACAGAGAUGAAGGAAUCAACACCCGAGAGACUGGUGCUCACCAAGCAGCCUCCUUUUGCUGCAGUGAAGAGCCUCAUCAACUCCCCGCCAAGAGAGGAGUCUCUGUCUUGGAGAGAAUAGAACAAACCUUUGCUGGAAUCCUUUCUUCUUUCGCACUCAUCUACAGAAAAGAAGACUGCAUAAGCAUACAUCCUUCAAUUGGAGGGAACACCAGAAGCAUCUCGCUGCCAGAGAAGACUGUCAGUAUCAAAGGUACUGCCCAUGAGAAAGAAGCCGAGAUGGCGAACAACCUCAUGCCGACUGUCAAGCAGUCCAACGAGAUGCAGUGGGAAUAUCACAACAUGGCUACGGACAUCAUCUCUGCCACACAAAAACCACACCCCGUAGCCCGACUUGAUAUGCAACUCAUCCAGCAGCUGCGGUCCCUCAUCCCCCAUGAGAGGAAGCUCAUUGCUCAUGUGAUCCAGACUCUGAAAAUGGACCUCUCUGAGCCCCAGGUGCAGCUGGAGUGUGCCAACCUCCUCUCCAGAACCGGCCUCCUGAUGAAGCUUCUCCGUGAGCAGCAGGAAGUAAAGGUUUCCAAGACAGAAUGGAAUACAGACCAAUGGAAGACUGAGAACUACAUCAGUCUGAGUACGGAAGGCCAGGGUGAGCAGAAACAGCCAGAGGCAAGUGAGAGUAAGAAGAGUCCAUAAGAAACAUGGAAGGGGAGUUCUUGAAGGUUUUCCAGGCCCGAAAGAAGAAUAGCAGCACCGAGCUGAUCAUUAAACCGGAGAAAGCCUCAUCAGAGAGAAACAGCCUGUCCCUUUUCAUGAGUGAGCAGCUAGACUUCAAUGAUGAGAGCGAUAUCAUUACUGUGCGAAAUUAUAUCAUGCCUUAUUUCCAGGAUGGAACAUAGAAGAUGUUGAAUCAACAUUGUUCCCCUUCAUUAAGCUCCUUUUUUCAACUAUGCAAGAUGGAGCAAAUCCUCUGGAUCCUUUAAAGAACAGCACAAUUCUGAUGUCUACAGCCCACAUCCAACAAUUCAACAUACAAUAAGUUGAAGUCCCAUAUUCUGGAAAGCUUGCGAAGUGCAGAAAUUCAAGAAAAAAAUCCACGAAGCUAGAAAGAGAGAGAAAACUGCCAUGCUGGUCCGUUCCAGUCUUUUUGGGCCCAAAAUUCAAUGCCAAGCCAAAUAUUUCUGAAAAAAUUGAAAACUGUCUGGCCAAAGAGAAAAUGCUUAAGAAAGGUUGAGGAGGGGGAGAGGCAAGCCCUGCAAAUGAGCAGCGUGCUCAAGGACCCAGUAUGUGUGGGGGGUGCGGGGGGGGUUCGUCCAGAAGAGGCACUUCAAAGAAGGGGCCAAUCACCUCAGCCAAAGGAAAGGUAGGGCUCGGCCCAUGGCAGGGAGUGUUGUCCUAGAAAGAAGGCUCAGGCAGCUGGCCCCAAGGGAACCAAAAGAGCUUCUCUUGGCGGGGAGGCCCAGGAAAUUGGUGGAAAACUCCUUCAGUGAGGAGUCAUCCUUCAUCUAGGAGCACAAGCCGGCGGUCUCCACAGCCCUGGAACAGUCCUCCAUGGACAGCCCGUCUGCCGCCACUUCUUCUAAAGUCCCACCUAAGUUGAAAAACAAAUCCAAAGACUUGAAAAACACUCUCUUCGUUUUGGAAGAUGCAGAUGCUUGAGUGUUGGGGUCUCAGUAGCUGGCCUGAGACUUUGACGAAACCCCCUGCCCCUGAAAGCAAGAGCCGGCCCUGUUUCCAGGGGCCCUGCACUCCACACACUCCUGCAUUCCACACACAGGCACUCUGGUUGAGGAGACAAUCGGAUGAGGGGUGUGACAGUUAACAUUUACCUGAGCUAGUUAACCCGGCCCUGAGAUUGGGGAGUACAAAUCAUUAACUAGCAUCUAUACUGAGCUCCACGAGAUAAGAGUGAUAUAUGCGUGGAGUACCCCCCACCCCAGAUUAUGUGCAUAAAAUCCCCUUGUAAGAAUCAAUAAAUGGAGUCUGCUUGACCACCAGGCUCCCCCGCUCUGCUCGGUGACCUUCUCGGUCAGGUUCUUUUUUGGUAGUAGGAAUCCUGUGGCGAGCAGAGGGCCAGGGCAGAGGCUUCUCCCCUUCCCACUCACUCUCCCAUAGGGAGUAAGUCCGGUGACUUCAGGGCUCAUACUCCAGUGUGCCGGGAUUGACUGGCCAGGACCCCGACACUCAAAGUUUUGAGCAUGAAGUUUCCCAGCCCCAUGCCACACAAUAGAAGAAAUUACCAUUUUCAUAAAUCUUACUCUCACCUGGGCCACAGAAUGCCCAAACCCAGAGAGAAUACAGAGAUGAAGGAAUCAACACCCGAGAGACUGGUGCUUGCCAAGCGGCCUCCUUUUGCUGCAGUGAAGAGCCUCAUCAACUCCCUGCCAAGAGAGGAGUCUCUGUCUUGGAGAGAUCAGGACAAAUCCUUUCUUCCUUCACUCAUCUACGGAAAAGAAGACUGCAGAAAGCACACAUGCUCCAAAUGGGGGGAACACCAGAAGCAUCUCACUGCCAGAGAAAACUGUUGGUAUCAAAGGUACUGCCCAUGAGAAAGAAGCCGAGAUGGCAAACAACCUCAUGCCGACUGUCACGCAGUCCAACGAGAUGCAGUGGGAAUAUCACAAUGUGGCCACGGACAUCGUCUCUGCCACACAAAAACCACACUCUGGAGACCAACUUGAGAUGCAGCUCAAUCAGCAGCUUCGGUCCCUCAUCCCUAACAAUAAUGAGAGGAAGCUCAUUGCUCACGUGAUCCAGACUCUGAAAAUGGACCUCUCUGAGCCCCAGGUGCAGCUGGAGUGUGCCAACCUCCUCUCCAGAACCGGCCUCCUGAUGAAGCUUCUCCGUGAGCAGCAGGAAGUAAAGGUUUCCAAGGCAGAAUGUGAUACAGACCAAUGGAAGACUGAGAACUACAUCAGUCUGAGUACGGAAGGCCAGGGUGAACAGAAACAGCCAGAGGCAAGUGAGCUCACAAAAGAAGUUCCGGGAUAUGGCUAUAAUAAUCUUGGCAAUAUCUGUGACUAUAGUCGUGAUAGUCACUUGUCACUUGUCAUCCCGUUGAUCUUCGAUUUGCUCGAGCAGGCGCCAGUAACGUCUCCAUUCAUCCCUGUUGCAUGCUAGUGUAGCCCAAUGGUAUCUGUUCGCUCCAGGAACAUGAUCGUGAAUGAGCUCAAGAGUUUCCGAAGACAGGCGUCUGUUUGUGGUUUUUCCACUCUCAGCAUUCCUCAUGCAGUCAUGGAUGUGCUGAACCAGUCAAUCAUAUUCCUCGUCGAUGUUGUCAACAAUGGCAUCUUCGCACAUUGCCGAAAUAGUGCCAGUUGGUGGUUAUUCUGGGAGUUCUCUUCUUAAACUUAAACUUUGCAGUCCUUUCUCCCCAAACUGUGAAGUAGAAUUUUGCAUGAAGGAGAAGGUGGUCCGAUCCUGUUUGGAAUUUUGGGACAACAGCAACAUCAGUUACUAAGAACUAAAGGAAAAUAAACUAUAGACUUCUGUUAAUAUAUCAAUCAACCUGGUUCAUUUGUUGCAACACAUGUACAAUAUAAGUGUUAAUAAAAAGGAAAUUUGGGACAGUGAACAUUAAA